rnacentral:rRNA from 1 species
AAAUUCUCUUAUUAUUUAUUUAUUGGUUAAUUUUUAAUUAAUAAAUUUUAGUAUGAAAUAUUUAAAGGGAUAAGCUUUUAUUUAUAUAAUUAAAAAUUUCGUUUAUUUUAUUUUUUGUAUAAUUUAGAUUGUUAAUCAUAUGAAUAAUUUAAUAUUUAAUUUUAUUUUAUUUUAGAUUUAUAUUAAUUUUAAUUUUUAUAUUAAAAAUUUUUGUUUAACUUUAUUUCUUUAGUUAUAAUGAUUAAAUUAGUAGAUAAAUAUGUAUAUCUUAUUUAUUUUUUUAGGUAGUAAAAAGGAACUCGGCAAAUUGAUUUUCUGCCUGUUUAUUAAAAACAUGUCUUUUUGAUUAUAAUUUAAGGUUUAAUCUGCUCAAUGAAUUAUUAAAUUGCCGCAGUAUUUUGACUGUGCAAAGGUAGCAUAAUAAUUAGCUUUUUUAUUGAGAGCUGGAAUGAAUGAUUGGACAAGAAAAUUUCUGUCUCUUUAUUAUUAUUAUUGAAUUUUACUUUUAAGUUAAAAGGCUUAAAUUUUUUUAAAAGACGAGAAGACCCUAUAGAGUUUAAUUUUUUGUUAUUUAAAAUUUAUUGGUAUUUAGAAAAUUUUAUUUAUUAAAUAAUUUGGUUGGGGUGACAAAAAGAUAAAAUAAACUCUUUUAAUUAUAAUCAAUUAUAUUUGAAUUUUAAAUCUAUAUUUAUAAGUUUAAAAUAAAUUACCUUAGGGAUAACAGCGUAAUUUUUCUUUAGAGUUCUUAUUAAAAGAGAAGUUUGCGACCUCGAUGUUGGAUUAAAAUUUAUUUUAGGUGUAGAAGCUUAAAUAUUGAGUCUGUUCGA